AUUGAACGCUGGCGGCAUGCCUUACACAUGCAAGUCGAACGGCAGCACGGGUGCUUGCACCUGGUGGCGAGUGGCGAACGGGUGAGUAAUACAUCGGAACAUGUCCUGUAGUGGGGGAUAGCCCGGCGAAAGCCGGAUUAAUACCGCAUACGAUCUACGGAUGAAAGCGGGGGACCUUCGGGCCUCGCGCUAUAGGGUUGGCCGAUGGCUGAUUAGCUAGUUGGUGGGGUAAAGGCCUACCAAGGCGACGAUCAGUAGCUGGUCUGAGAGGACGACCAGCCACACUGGGACUGAGACACGGCCCAGACUCCUACGGGAGGCAGCAGUGGGGAAUUUUGGACAAAGGGCGAAAGCCUGAUCCAGCAAUGCCGCGUGUGCGAAGAAGGCCUUCGGGUUGUAAAGCACUUUUGUCCGGAAAGAAAUCCUUGGCCCUAAUACGGUCGGGGGAUGACGGUACCGGAAGAAUAAGCACCGGCUAACUACGUG
rnacentral:rRNA from 1 species